rnacentral:tRNA from 1 species
GCCGGUAGUCUCCAUGCCCUACAUGGGGCUUGAACUCACGACUCUGAGAUCAAGAGUCACAUGCUCUACCAACUGAGCCAGC